rnacentral:tRNA from 1 species
GGUCAGGUAGCUCAGCUGGUAGAGCACACGCCUGAAAAGCGUGGGGUCGGCGGUUCGAUCCCGCCCCUGACCACCU